GGAGAGCUCUGUGACUGCAGCCAUUCUGCUCCGAGGUCGACAAACACUGACACCACUCAGCUCAUAUACGCUCUACACCAACCCUCAUCAGCUGCUGCUCUUUAUCUGGAGCGGUCUAGAUUUCGGGGGACUGGCCUGGAGCCUGAGACUCUUCUGAUUGAGGCUGCUGCAUGUCAUGGAGCGCUCUAGAUUUCGGGGGACUGGCCCGGAGCUGGAGACUCUUCUGGUGAUGGU